GCCCGAGUGGUGGAAUUGGUAGACGCAGGGGAUUCAAAAUCCCCCGCCGCAAGGCGUGCCGGUUCAAUUCCGGCCUCGGGCACCA
rnacentral:tRNA from 1 species